rnacentral:rRNA from 1 species
UAGGGAAUAUUAGUAAUGGGCGAAAGCCUGAACUAGCAACACCGCGUGUGCGAAGAAGGCCUUCGGGUUGUAAAGCACUUUUUGAGAGGAUGAGGAAGGACAGUACCCUCAGAAUAAGCCUCGGCUAACUACGUGCCAGCAGCCGCGGUAACACGUAGGAGGCAAGCGUUAUUCGGAUUUACUGGGCGUAAAGCGCGUGCAGGCGGUUCGGUAAGUUGGAUGUGAAAGCUCCUGGCUUAACUGGGAGAGGCCGUUCUAAACUGCAGAGCUAGAGGAUGGUAGAGGGAGGUGGAAUUCCGGGUGUAGCGGUGGAAUGCGCAGAUAGCCGGAGGAACACCAGUGGCGAAAGCGGCCUCCUGGACCAUUCCUGACACUCAGACGCGAAAGCUAGGGUAGCAAACG